rnacentral:rRNA from 1 species
GAUGAACGCUAGCGGCAGGCUUAACACAUGCAAGUCGUGGGGCAGCGCGGACUUCGGUCUGGCGGCGACCGGCAAACGGGUGCGGAACACGUACGCAACCUCCCUCAGAGCGGGGAAUAGCCUCUCGAAAGAGAGAUUAAUACCCCAUAGUAUCUUGAAGACACAUGUCUAUGAGAUUAAAGCUUCGGCACUUUGAGAUGGGCGUGCGGCUGAUUAGGUAGUUGGUAGGGUAACGGCCUACCAAGCCGACGAUCAGUAGCUGAUGUGAGAGCAUGAUCAGCCACACGGGCACUGAGACACGGGCCCGACUCCUACGGGAGGCAGCAGUGAGGAAUAUUGGUCAAUGGAGGGAACUCUGAACCAGCCAUGCCGCGUGAAGGAUGACGGCCCUCUGGGUUGUAAACUUCUUUUGGAUUGGGGCGAAAAAACGGGAUUUAUCCUGGACUGACGGUACCAUCAGAAUAAGCACCGGCUAACUCCGUGCCAGCA